GUCCCCGUAGCUCAGCUGGAUAGAGCGGAAGUUUCCUAAACUUUAGGUCGCACGUUCGACUCGUGUCGGGGACA
rnacentral:tRNA from 1 species